rnacentral:rRNA from 1 species
AUACGAGGGGGUGCAAGCGUUGUUCGGAAUUACUGGGCGUAAAGGGAGCGUAGGCGGAUCUACAAGACAGUGGUUAAAUCUCCGGGCUCAACCUGGAACUUGCCUUUGUGACUGUGGAUCUUGAGUAUGGUAGAGGUUGGCGGAAUUUCCGGUGUAGCGGUGGAAUGCGUAGAGAUCGGAAGGAACACCAGAGGCGAAGGCGGCCAACUGGACCAAUACUGACGCUGAGGCUCGAAAGCGGUGGGGAGC